rnacentral:rRNA from 1 species
UACGAAGGGGGCUAGCGUUGCUCGGAAUUACUGGGCGUAAAGCGCACGUAGGCGGCUUUCUAAGUCGGGGGGUGAAAUCCUGGAGCUCAACUCCAGAACUGCCUUCGAUACUGGAAGCUCGAGUCCGGGAGAGGUGAGUGGGAACUGCGAGUGUAGAGGUGAAAUUCGUAGAAUAUUCGCAAGAACACCAGGUGGCGAAGGCGGCUCACUGGCCCGGUACUGACGCU